rnacentral:misc_RNA from 1 species
GAAUGCAUCUGGCUGGCAUAAGAUUUCACCUCCGAACUUAGCUAAAUCAAUCGGGAGGAUUCUUGCCAGAGAAGGAGCAGCAAUUCCAACAAACCCAUCAGUUGUACCUGUAUUGUGAAGAACUAUGCUUGUCGUAUUCUUUCCAAAAAGCCAUUGCCAGACACCUGCUUCGUUUUCAGCGGCAUAGACAUUUUCCAUCUGGAUGGAACCAGACAUAUAGCACAUGGACCCAGGUUUUGCAAUAAUUCUUUCUUGUGGCUUCAACAUAAUCUGAACGAUCUGAGCUUCACCGCCCAGAAUUUGAAAAGGUGUUACAGCAUCUUGCGGACUCUGAUAAACAAAAGGUUGAAACGGCGUCGAGAAAAAUGGGGCAGCCAUAGAUCGAACAAAUUUCAGAAUUUUCAGAUCGCCGGAAGAUCAGUU